AUAUAUUUAUCCUUUUACCUACCAAAGAGGGAAAAGCACAAGAAGUUCACAACUGCCACUUGUUUCUUCCCCGUAAAACUCAACAGAGCAAAAAUGGCAACCUGCUUCUCUCUUCCCGCCACUCCAAAUUCCUUUUUGCACUUCCCUUCUAAUCCCAAAUCUCACAAAAGACCCAUCCAUUCUUCUUCCCUCACAUCUCAAUCCCAAAAAAACCAUCUUCUCAACCUAAUUUCUGACCAAGAACGUGGCCUCAGGACUCAAUCCGACCCCCCAAAACUCUCACAAAUAAUCCAGGCUAUUGACGAUUUGGGUUCCAUUGGACGUGACACUGUCACCACUGGAAGUUCCCUUUCGGCCACUUGGCGUUUGCUUUGGACUACGGAGAAAGAACAACUUUAUAUUAUUAAGAAUGCCCCUUUUUUCGGUACUAAAGCUGGUGAUGUUCUUCAGGUUAUUGAUGUUGAGAAAAGAACACUUAACAAUGUUAUCACUUUUCCCCCUGAUGGGGUUUUCUUUGUUCGGUCUACUAUUGAAGUUGCAUCUUCUCAGCGUGUGAAUUUCAGAUUCACAAGUGCAGUUCUGCGUGGAAAAAAUUGGGAAUUUCCUCUACCACCAUUUGGACAAGGGUGGUUUGAGACUGUGUACCUUGAUGAUGAGAUUCGAGCAGUCAAAGAUAUCAGGCAAGACUACCUGAUUGUCGAACGUGCUCCUUAUACUUGGAAAGAAUGAUCGUCGGAUUUGUCUUCCGCUAUCUCUGUACAUAAAUUUCACUGUACGACCUUGCUUGGUAUCAACUCGUUUUCUUUAGUCUCUGUGGCUUUCUUUUUUUCCAGAACUCUACAAAUCAUAUCAUGGAGUAUCCUCGUAUUCAAGUUUUCAGGACAUAACCCUUUGGAGGUUGUGUCCUGCUUCUUGUCACAGCAUCAGGAGCAAGUGAGUGCCCACAAUACUCAACUUAUUUCAAAUAAGGCCAUGUAUGCAUGUGAAAUGGAAAACCAGGGAGGAGAGAACCCAUACCGGAACAACAGGGAUGUCCUCUUCUGGCUUAAAGUCUAAUGUCCAUUUUUUGAGCAACAUUUGCAUUCAUUCAAUCUCAAUCACUCUUUUGAGCCGUACUAGCUUGAAGUCAACUUCAUUUGUGAAGUCAAGAAACACAUUAUAAUUGUCCUAUACUACAACUUGGCCGAGCCUUUUACUGGAAUAAAUUCCUUGAUGUAAGAUGUGGCUCACGUUUGGUUUAAUAAAUAAUUAAAUAUAUGAGCUAAAUCCCAAUUUAGAUGGGGAAGUUA